GCAUUAAUGGGGUAGUGGUAACCUGGGUUAUUGCCAUCAACUUACCAGGGGUUCAAUUCCCCCUUAAUGGA